UACAUGGGGUGCAAACGUUGCUCGGAAUCAUUGGGCGUAAAGCGCGCGUAGGCGGUUACUUAAGUCGGAUGUGAAAGCCCUCGGCUUAACCGAGGAAGUGCAUCCGAAACUGAGUAGCUAGAGUACUAAAGAGGGUCGCGGAAUUCCCGGUGUAGAGGUGAAAUUCGUAGAUAUCGGGAGGAACACCGGUGGCGAAGGCGGCGACCUGGGUAGAUACUGACGCUGAGGCGCGAAAGCAUGGGGAGCAAACAGG
rnacentral:rRNA from 1 species